CUGAAAAUUACACCCAGACUGAAAAUAACCCUUCCUCAACAAAAGAUAAUUUUCGCUAUCCAACCUCAGUGUACAUGUCUUGCUUUGUCCUGUAUUUUGUCUAAUGUCUGUGAGAAUGACUGCAGCCAUGGCAAAGAUAAUUUUCUGUUUCAUGUGUAACAGCCAAUUAUAUUUUUUUUAAUCUCAUCUUAUUCCCACCCUCCUUAGGUGUGUGGAGUACACUUCCCUGACGGCAGACCAACGCAGGAACACCCAUAUCCCAUAAUAUGGGAUAUGAAUAUAGUAAAGCACCAUCAUGUGGAAGACCACCCCCAAAGAGGAGAUGUCUCCAGCCCCCAACAGAGAGACUUGGAUUAAUGUUGAGAGGAUUAUUGUUCAAUACGGUGUAGAAACACUUGGUUCAGUUAUAUGUAUAUAUCUAUCAUCUUUCAAGAAAUCCUUCAUCCCCUCAGCUGUGACCAUACUGAACAAGAGAUGAACUGUCCAGCUGCAGCAUGCAUGUAUUGUGUGGUCUUGUCUUUUUUUUUUUGGUCAAGCCUUGUCUAAUGUCUGUGAGAAUCACUGAAGCCACGCCAAAGACAAUUUUCUUUUUCAUGGGUGUAACAGACAAUUAAGUUUUAUCUAAUCUAAUCAUAUCAAUGAGAAUCAGUGCACCUGACAAAGGUAUGACAUACCGUAUACUGUAGGCUUAAAUGCUAAAGAAAAAUGAAUUAACCUGGCGGUUUUGAAUUGUUUAUUUACACAGUUAUUAAAAUGCAUACAGAUAGUGAAUUUAA